CCGGUCUCCCGUCAUGUUGGGGUCUGGGUGAGAGUCGUGGGAUCGAAGUGAAGCCAGACAAGCCAGGGCGCUGGUGACUGCGACGCCGCAGAGACUGUGGCUCCUGCGAGCGUUUAUUCCCAUCCUGCCUGCGAGAGGCUGUGGACAGGCUUGCAGAUGCAGAGCCCUGAAGUCACCACAAAGGAUGGUCUGACAUUAAACUGUAACUAAAAGCAGUCAUGGCGGGCGGUUACGUCCUAGGCCUGCAUCUUCACUGACAAGGUUUCAAUGGUUUUUACGUUAACAUUACUUGGCGUAGUCACAGCAGAAUUCCAAAGAAGCUCACUAACUAGGAUCCAGCAAAGGGCCCACUGAGCCCGCAGUUUCUCCGCCCAUUGGGUGAACUUGGGGAUUUUGGUUUGCUCUUCCCUUGUUUAUGAAUAUGGGGACAAAGAUCACAGGGG